UUUUCAAUAUGGCUGUCGAUUGUGAUACGAAUAUAAUAUACGAUGUGAUUAUGUCUGCGUUUAAAUUCUGUGCCCAACAGGUUAUGGGCCCAGUACUAAAAGUGUUUUGAGUUUAAAUUCUACAUAAUAAAGUAUACUACGUAAAAGAUGAGAUAAGUUUCAAAAUUAUUCAUACCUACUUUAAAAAGACAAUGGUACAGCGUGCGUUUAAUUAGAAGAUUUCGAUUCGGCGAAAAAAAAUAAGUACAAAUACACAUUUUAUUUGGUGUGUUGUUAUUGAAGAAAUUACAUACAUAAAAUGGCAACGUCAAUUAAAAUUGAGCCUCUUAAUGGUGAUAACUACGACACGUGGAAAGUGCACAUGCGCGCCAUUUUGAAGAAAAAUGAUUUAUGGGAAUAUGUUUGCGGGAUGGUCCCGCGCUCAGCGCAAUCUGAUGCCAAAUAUCUGGAGUGGUUGAAGUUGGAUGGAAAGGCCGAAUCGGACAUUUUGUUAGCCGUAAGACCAAGUGAGCUCAUUGCUUUAGAUGGUUUAGAAACAUCCAAAGCCAUAUGGGACAAACUUAAAUCGAUGUAUGAAUCGAGUGGGCCUGCUCGCAAAGCCUCAUUGUUAAAGAAAUUUGUCUUAACGCGCAUGCAAGAAGAAGACGACCUGCGCAAGCACAUUGCAGAUUUCUUUGACGCCGUCAAGAAGUUAAAAGAAAUUGGUUUAAACGUCAUUGACGAAUUACUUACUAUUUUGUUGCUUUAUAGUUUGCCAGAUUCCUUUUCUAUGUUUCGUACAGCUAUGGAAUCACGAGAUGAUUUAACAUCAACAGAUAUUUUAAAGGUAAAAAUUGUUGAAGACUAUGAAGGACGUAAAUCAAAACUUUAGAUCAAGGUGCAAUGUUGAUUAAGCCUCGUCAUGCAAAGAAGUAUACUCAUGAGAAUAAACGCCACAAUAAUAAGUUUCAGAUUGAAUGUUAUCGGUGUGGUGGUCGUGGACAUAUUGCGAGAGAGUGCAAAUCUAAAAACAUUAAUAAAAAUAUUCAUAAUAACAAGUUUAAGCAGAGCGCGCAACAUGUAGAACGAAACUCAGACAAGGCAACUAUUUUGAUGAGCACUACCGAAGAGGUGAUGUUAGGUAAUGGAAGAAACAUUACUUGGUAUAUCGACAGUGGAUGUACGGGCCAUAUGUGUAAUAAAAGAGACAUUAUAAAGGGAUUUUCAAGACUAGAUUCAGAACUUCAAUUAGCUAAUAAUGAGAGCAUUAAAAUAUCUGGUACAGGCAAGGUGAGUCUAUCUGUUGACACAGGCUGCGAAGAGCGCCAAGUGGAUAUUGAGAAGGUUUUAUAUGUGUCCGAGUUAAGAAACAAAUUUAUUGUCUGUGGCGAAGAUAACUGACCGUGGGUUUGAAGUUCGUUUCAGAAAGAAUGAUGCAGUAGUCAUAGAUAAAAUGAUCAGGUCCAUAUGCGUGCGGAUCGGAUAGGUAAUUUAUACCAUGUCAGACUAAGUGAAAACAGUGCAAAUAAUGCUGAGGCGGUUAAAAAGCCUAUAGAUAUGUGGCAUGAACGCCUGGGGCACUUAAAUGAACGUGACUUGAAAGCAAUGGCUAAGCACGGCUUAGUAAAUGGUUUGAAUUUAAUAGAUGGUCAAAAACUGUCAGAAUGUGAAGUUUGUAUAAAAGAGAAGCAAACAUGUUAGUCCUUUUCUACUAGUAACAUGAACCGUACAAGUGAACUAUUAGAGAUAGUACAUACAGAUCUAUGUGGACCGAUGAGAUGUCAGUCUUUCAGCGGUAAAAGAUAUUUGGAAAGCAGAUCAAAACUUUACAAUCCGAUAAUGGUCGAGAAUAUGUGAAUAAAGAUUUUGAUGAACACUUAAAAAGGGAAGGAAUCAGAAGAAGAUUAACAGCACCAUACACUCCACAGCAAAAUGGUGUUACUGAAAGGAAGAACAGAACACUUGUUGAGAUGGCGCGUUGUAUGAUGCGACAAGCUGGGAGUCCUCCUUAAUUUUGGGCUGAAGCCAUUCAAAUGGCGAAUUAUAUAAGGAAUAGAUGUCCUACUACUGCACUUAAUGGAAAUAUACUAUUCACAGUUUGGAAAGGGAAGAAACCCACUGUUAUUUAUAUGAAUAUAUUUGGAUCGAAUCAAAGAGAAAAGUUAUUAAUGAUGAGAAAAUAUUGGAGAUAGCUAGACGUUGGUAUGAUGCUUUGAAUGAAUGUGAGAAUGGUGUAUGUUUGUUCUAAAAAUCUUUGUAUGGAUUGCGUCAGUCGGGGUUGCAGUGGCAUAAGGAGUUAGUUCGAGAGCUUACUAGUAUUGGAUUUAAAGCAAUGCCUCAAGAUUCUUGUUUGUUUGUAGCACAAAAGGGUGAAUGUAUGAUGUUGAUUGCAAUUUAUGUAGAUGAUAUUAUUUUGGCGACGAAUGAUAAUGUGUGGAUGAAAGAAGUGAAGUUUCAGUUAUCAUGUGCAUUUGAGAUGAAAGAUAUGGGUAGAAUAAAUCAUUGUUUAGGUAUUGAGUUUACUCGUGAUGAGAAUAAUAGAGUGUAUCUUAAUCAGAGGUUUUAUGUAGAAAAAUUUUUAGAACGUUUUGGUAUGAGUGAAUGCAAACCUAUUAUGAAUCCUAUGGAUAUGAAUGUUAAGUUAGAAAAACCUGAAUGCAUGAAUGAUGAUAUUAUGUGUAAGUAUCCUUAUCAAAGUUUGAUUGGUGCUUUGAUGUAUUUAGCUGUGUCCAUGAGGCCAGAUAUCACAUAUACAGUUAAUUAUCUUAGCCAAUUUAACACUAAUUAUGAUAGUGAGCACUGGAAGGCUGCUAAGCGUGUUUUGAGGUAUUUGAAAGAGACACUUGAUUAUGGAUUAAUGUAUGAAAGAACAGGUUUACCAUUAUUUGGUGUGGUAGAUGCUGAUUGGGGUUCAAAUACAGUUGAUAACCGUAGGUCAUAUUCUGGAUUUGCCUUUAUUUUUGCAGGUGAUCCUAUCAGUUGGCAAGCAUCAAAACAAAAAACAAUUGCUUUAUCAAGUACGGAAGCGGAAUACAUGGCUCUCUCUGAGGCAACAAAGGAGGCCAUGUAUUUAUAAGACAUGUUUGGGAAUUUCUGUGUUGAGUGUGAGUGUAUUACAUUAUUUAAUGAUAACCAGGGUGCGAUUAAACUUGCACAAACCCGACAUUACCACCCUCCUACGAAACAUAUUGCUGUUAGACAUCAUUUUAUUAGAGAUGCUUGUGAGGAAGGUCUAGUGUGUUUAAAAUUCUUGUCCACAGAUCAAAUGCCUGCUGAUGUGUUGACCAAGGGCCUUAGUAGAAGAAAGCAUUUUGAAUGUAUCAAUAACCUUGGAGUUGUGGACAUUUUUAAGGAAGGUGCACUCGCGACUUCGAGGGGGGGUGUUCGUGUGUGAAACAAAGUUCGCGCGUCAUUUACAGAUUAAAUAUAUUUUUGUUAUCUGUGCUUGCGAAACGUAUAGCUCGCGCUUUACUUUUUUUUCUAGUAUUCACUUUUCAAUAUGGCUGUCGAUUGUGAUACGAAUAUAAUAUACGAUGUGAUUAUGUCUGCGUUUUAUUUCUCUGCCCAACACUUAAUAAUUAUUAUCAUAGAAAAAUGAUUUUAAUUUCCUUCAAUUAUUUUUUUAAAAUUUUACUAAUUUAUUAAAUUAAAAGAAAAUUUUAAUUCUUAUUAAUAUUUUUAUUGAGUACGCAGUACAUGUAUUUUAGUUUCCACAUCUCUUUCGGGUAUAUUUAGGUCUUGAGAAAUUUCUUCGAAUGCAUCGUUCUUUUUGUUUCUAUCUUUGUAUUCUUUUAUAUAAGAAUCCCAUUAAUGGUUUUGAUUGAAAUAAUUCUAUUAGUUGCAUUAUUUUAUCAUUGCUCCACACUACUGCCAUGUUUAUAAACUGUUGCAAUCACGUUCUCAUACGUCAACAAUUGUCGCUCAACUGAUGUUUACGCUUGUCAGGCGAGAGCUUGUCAACAUGACGCUAUCAACUCUGCAACACGCAGUGUUGCCAGCAAUUCCGCAACACAUUUGUUUAAAUACUUGUGUCCUAUCAUAACUUACUCAAGUCUUAUUUUGGGCUUGUUGUUGCGAUCUCGGAAACAGAAUCCAUUUAUUUAAAAUGGCCGAAUGGCUCAAUGCUUCAACAACUUGACGUAUACACCUACUAGUUGUUCUUUGUAUCAAAUGCUGCGUUAGUCCAACAAUGCGUUGAUAUGAACCCGCAGCCAAAAAACUAAGAGUACACAAAACCUGAAACAUGAUUUCAUUGAGAAAUUACACUGUGUAACUUUAUAUUUUAAGUAAGGUUAGAAGUAGGUAAAAAAACUUACCUUGGUUUCUAAACUAAUUUCCCGUGUACCUUUCAAUGAGGUUACACACCGAAGAUCAUCACAAAGACGCCAAAAACUUUGUUUAUCUAACCUAAAACGAUGAAUAAAUUCCAAUGCCUCCAUCUCCACAAUUUGCACCAUUUUACGUCGAUUUAUUCUUGUUUGACGUCUUUGCAAUGUUGCUUCAAUAUAAGCAGCCCAUAAUAAUCCUUAACUACGCAUUUUCACUAUUUAAUUUGAAUUAAAAACACACUAAAAUAUCCUGUUUAAACGGAAAAUAUCAUUGGCGUUUGUCAAAAGUGGCACAUGUCAUUUUGAUGAAGAUUUUUGUCGUUUGCGUGUCACGCUCACUUCGACGUUCCUAUCCGCAAGAGGGAUAUUGACUUUGUUUACCAUUUAAGCAGCAAUCACGUGACAUCUGGUUAGCAAAUGUCAACUCCAUACAAUCAGAUUUUUCCGUCGGCGUUAACGCUUACAGAAAAUGGUUAUUGUCUAGGCCCGCUGUUUCUUCGGUUCCCCCACGUAGUUUACAAAGCCAGUAACUUUAUCCUUUUUCCUGUUGUAAUUAAAAUUUGGAGUGAGAGCCAUUUCAUCAAAAAUAAGGGUCCAUCAUUUUUCACUAGCCUUCUAUUUUGCACUUUUUUUUUGUAAUUGUUCAAAUAUUUUUUUUCAUUAAUGCCCGGUAUCAAAGCAGCUCUUGAAAUCUGACAGGGUACAAACUGUGUGCUGUCUUUACCAGUCCAAUGAAAUUUAAUUCAACUGUGAAUAACUCCACAGCUGUUUUGACCGAAGCAAACCAUGAGUCUCCAAAUACAACUCUUCCAGAACCAUGACAAUCUCAAUGUAGUUGCUUGUUUCAGCGCCAAAUUCUCAUUGCUUCUUUACCCUCAUUAAUUUCCAAUCUGAUUCAUAAUCUUUGAAUUACUAUCACAAGCUGUUUUUACUUCACAACCCACUCCUAUUGAUUUUCUUUUAAUUUUUAUAACUGCUGGCAACCCAUCUUUGAAAUACGCACCUCUUCCAUACUAGGCGAACAAGGAUUCAUCUACAGUUAUUUUUGAACCAGGACGGAUGGUAUCUGUUAGUUUAUCAUUCACCAUCAUUGCUAGUGUUCUCGUACGCCAUUUGUCAGAAUCAUUGAUGGUUGUGUGAAGCGCAGUGCCAUUAGAAUGAUCUCAAAUCUUUGGCGACUCAUUCCAAAUCUUUGUCCAAAAUUUGCAGGAGGAAAUAUUCCAAAUCAAAUGAAAUAAUUUAUUGCAUACUAAUACAAAUACAGGGUCAACUGUCAAUUUUAGACAGAUCAAUAUGUUAUUUUAUAGUUUGGACCACAAAGGAAACCAUCAUUUUGCCAGUAGAAAAAGACCCAAAUUGGGAACUAAUUAAUUUACAAAACUUACUGAAAUUGUAUCAAGAACAAUUUAUUGAUCGCAUGAUGUCCUAAGUUUGGCCUAUUUUUGCCUGAUGUCUACAUGAUUACCACACAUUAAAUGAUAUGCAUGGUUUGUUUUAAAUUUUCUGUGGAAAUCAAAAAACAUUUUUGUAUUGUUUUGGAUUUCCAUCCGUAUGUAAACCUAUGUUAAACAACUAUGUUUCUAUGUAACUUGUGUGAUUAUGUGCUAAGUGUUUGUAAAUAUAAAAAAAAACAACUGUCCUAAUUUUUAACCUGUAUUUAAUAGCAUAAUAAGAUUAAAUAAUUAAGAUGCA